CCCUUAGAUGUCCUGGGCUGCACGCGCGCUACACUGAUGUGUCCAGUAAGCACCUAACCUCUUCCGAAAGGAACGGGUAACCUUUGCAAAACACAUCGUGAUGGGGAUAGAUUAUUGCAAUUAUUAGUCUUGAACGAGGAAUUCCUAGUAAGCACAAGUCAUCAGCUUGUGUUGAUUACGUCCCUGCCCUUUGUACACACCGCCCGUCGCUCCUACCGAUUGAAUGUUCCGGUGAGCUCUUCGGACUGCGCGGUCUGCAGUUUCUGCGUUCCGUGCGGAAAGUUGCGCAAACCUUAACAUUUAGAGGAAGGAGAAGUCGUAACA
rnacentral:rRNA from 1 species